UGAAAAUGAAUCGGGCUCGGCCCGAUCCUCCCACCCUUUGUGUACCUACCUCUGUUGCUUUGGCGGGCCGCGGUCCUCCGCGGCCGCCCCCCUCCCCGGGGGGGUGGCCAGCGCCCGCCAGAGGACCAUCAAACUCCAGUCAGUAAACGAUGCAGUCUGAAAAACAUUUAAUAAACUAAAACUUUCAACAACGGAUCUCUUGGUUCUGGCAUCGAUGAAGAACGCAGCGAAAUGCGAUAAGUAAUGUGAAUUGCAGAAUUCAGUGAAUCAUCGAAUCUUUGAACGCACAUUGCGCCCUUUGGUAUUCCGAAGGGCAUGCCUGUUCGAGCGUCAUUACAACCCUCAAGCUCUGCUUGGUAUUGGGCACCGUCCUUUGCGGGCGCGCCUCAAAGACCUCGGCGGUGGCGUCUUGCCUCAAGCGUAGUAGAACAUACAUCUCGCUUCGGAGCGCAGGGCGUCGCCCGCCGGACGAACCUUCUGAACUUUUCUCAAGGUUGACCUCGGAUCAGGUAGGGAUACCCGCUGAACUUAAGCAUAUCAUAAGACCGGAGGGAA
rnacentral:rRNA from 1 species